rnacentral:lncRNA from 1 species
UUCUCCCUUUAAGACGGAGUCUCACUCUAUUGCCUAGGCUGGAGUGCAGUGGUGCAGUCUCGGCUCAUUGCAAGCUCCUCCUCUGGGGUUCAUGCCAUUCUCCUGCCUCAGCCUCCCAAGUAGCUGGGACUACAGGCGCCCGCCACCACACCCGGCUAAUUUUUUGUAUUUUUAGUAGAGAUGGGGUUUCAUCAUGUUAGCCAGGAUGGUCUCCAUCUCCAAGGGCAGGCCUUUCUAAGAAUAGAGUGUUUUGGCAUACUUCAGUAUUGCUCAUUUUCCCCUCCCCCUGCAGGUAGCACCAGGAAAUUUUUCUCCAAUAUUUAUUAUGGAAACCAGGUUGAGGUCCUAGAGGUAAAUCUCACACUGUUGUGGGAGACCCUCAUAUGACUGGAUUCAUCUAGAGUUUUUAACUGUCGGACUUAUCCACACUGAGCCCCCCAAAAUGGAUCAAUUACAAUUAAUAUUUUGCUAACCCACCAUGGCACUGGUCCCCAUGGUGGUUUCUGCCCCAGUAUGCCCUUCUUUCCUGUGUUCACUUGUCUAUCGCUUCCGUCUUGAGGGCAGCAAUUUGCCCUAUGUCCUCACUGCUCUUAGGCAACCAAAAAGUGUUCUGAUUUUUUGGUCUGUUUGGUUUUUACUUGUUGUUAGGUUAGAGUGGCAACAUCUAAGCCCCUUAUAUACAGAACUAGAAAGUGGAAGUUCUUUGCAAACAUAUUUAUUGUUGCUUUUUACUGACUCUGACCUGAGCAGGCUGGGUCCUAUCUUUCUGCAUGUAGAUGUAGCAAUGGAGAAUUUUGUUGUUGUUGUAGUUGUUUUGUUUGCUUUAAUAAAAAUAAAUAACUUCCUGAAUGAAAUCUGAGUAGAAAAUUAAUAGAUUAUUCAGUAAAAACAUUUAUUCUGUAAUAUUAUAAGACUUUCUUUUGCUCAUUUAUGUCUUUUUUGUUUGUUUUUGCUUCUGAUUUUCAGGAUAAAAUGGUUUCUGUGGCUUUGUACCGAACAACUGAUGCAUUAAAUCACACCGGCAAAGGGUGUCUUGUGUAGAAUAAAAGCUUACCUUUCCAGAAAGGGAUUCUUACACUAACCAAUUUUUCAUGUCGUGGCUUCAGUGACCAAUUCAUUCUCUAGCAGAACUAUAGUGCUGGUCCACAGAGUAGCAGUCCACAUUACAACCUUUUGGUCACUUUGAAAUACUCUUAUCUGCUUCAGAUAAAUUAGUUUGGGUUCUAUUUGGAGGGGAAAAAUGGAGUUUAUGGAAUCUCAAGCUCAUUCCCAUCUUGUCAUUCCAUGAUAAAUCAUGUUGGGUACAAAGCCAAUUGUCCCUUGAUGGCAAAUAAAAAAUUGCUCUAUAAAUAUAUCAGAGCCAUACAUUUAUUCCUCCUGGUAAAUGUUUGCUUUUUUUUUUUUAACUCAGUCUCAAUGUAGAUACCUUUCAGAUAUGUAAAACAACUUGGAUGCCUGCGAUAGCUAAAAAUAAAAAAAAAAAA